rnacentral:rRNA from 1 species
GGUUAAGCGACUAAGCGUACACGGUGGAUGCCCUGGCAGUCAGAGGCGAUGAAGGACGUGCUAAUCUGCGAAAAGCGUCGGUAAGGUGAUAUGAACCGUUAUAACCGGCGAUGUCCGAAUGGGGAAACCCAGUGUGAUUCGUCACACUAUCGUUAACUGAAUACAUAGGUUAACGAGGCGAACCGGGGGAACUGAAACAUCUAAGUACCCCGAGGAAAAGAAAUCAACCGAGAUUCCCCCAGUAGCGGCGAGCGAACGGGGAGCAGCCCAGAGUCUGAAUCAGCUUGUGUGUUAGUGGAACGGUCUGGAAAGUCCGACGGUACAGGGUGAUAGUCCCGUACACCAAAAUGCACAGGUUGUGAACUCGAAGAGUAGGGCGGGACACGUGGUAUCCUGUCUGAAUAUGGGGGGACCAUCCUCCAAGGCUAAAUACUCCUGACUGACCGAUAGUGAACCAGUACCGUGAGGGAAAGGCGAAAAGAACCCCGGCGAGGGGAGUGAAAAAGAACCUGAAACCGUGUACGUACAAGCAGUGGGAGCACCUUCGGGUGUGACUGCGUACCUUUUGUAUAAUGGGUCAGCGACUUAUAUUCUGUAGCAAGGUUAACCGUAUAGGGGAGCCGCAGGGAAACCGAGUCUUAACUGGGCGUUAAGUUGCAGGGUAUAGACCCGAAACCCGGUGAUCUAGCCAUGGGCAGGUUGAAGGUUGGGUAACACUAACUGGAGGACCGAACCGACUAAUGUUGAAAAAUUAGCGGAUGACUUGUGGCUGGGGGUGAAAGGCCAAUCAAACCGGGAGAUAGCUGGUUCUCCCCGAAAGCUAUUUAGGUAGCGCCUCGUGAACUCAUCUUCGGGGGUAGAGCACUGUUUCGGCUAGGGGGUCAUCCCGACUUACCAACCCGAUGCAAACUACGAAUACCGAAGAAUGUUAUCACGGGAGACACACGGCGGGUGCUAACGUCCGUCGUGAAGAGGGAAACAACCCAGACCGCCAGCUAAGGUCCCAAAGUCAUGGUUAAGUGGGAAACGAUGUGGGAAGGCACAGACAGCCAGGAUGUUGGCUUAGAAGCAGCCAUCAUUUAAAGAAAGCGUAAUAGCUCACUGGUCGAGUCGGCCUGCGCGGAAGAUGUAACGGGGCUAAACCAUGCACCGAAGCUGCGGCAGCGACACUAUGUGUUGUUGGGUAGGGGAGCGUUCUGUAAGCCUGCGAAGGUGUGCUGUGAGGCAUGCUGGAGGUAUCAGAAGUGCGAAUGCUGACAUAAGUAACGAUAAAGCGGGUGAAAAGCCCGCUCGCCGGAAGACCAAGGGUUCCUGUCCAACGUUAAUCGGGGCAGGGUGAGUCGACCCCUAAGGCGAGGCCGAAAGGCGUAGUCGAUGGGAAACAGGUUAAUAUUCCUGUACUUGGUGUUACUGCGAAGGGGGGACGGAGAAGGCUAUGUUAGCCGGGCGACGGUUGUCCCGGUUUAAGCAUGUAGGCUGAUUAUCCAGGCAAAUCCGGAUAAUCAAGGCUGAGGUGUGAUGACGAGGCACUACGGUGCUGAAGUAACAAAUGCCCUGCUUCCAGGAAAAGCCUCUAAGCAUCAGGUAACAUUAAAUCGUACCCCAAACCGACACAGGUGGUCAGGUAGAGAAUACCAAGGCGCUUGAGAGAACUCGGGUGAAGGAACUAGGCAAAAUGGUGCCGUAACUUCGGGAGAAGGCACGCUGGUGUGUAGGUGAAGCCCCUGCGGGUGGAGCUGAGACCAGUCGAAGAUACCAGCUGGCUGCAACUGUUUAUUAAAAACACAGCACUGUGCAAACACGAAAGUGGACGUAUACGGUGUGACGCCUGCCCGGUGCCGGAAGGUUAAUUGAUGGGGUUAUCCGUAAGGAGAAGCUCUUGAUCGAAGCCCCGGUAAACGGCGGCCGUAACUAUAACGGUCCUAAGGUAGCGAAAUUCCUUGUCGGGUAAGUUCCGACCUGCACGAAUGGCGUAAUGAUGGCCAGGCUGUCUCCACCCGAGACUCAGUGAAAUUGAACUCGCUGUGAAGAUGCAGUGUACCCGCGGCAAGACGGAAAGACCCCGUGAACCUUUACUAUAGCUUGACACUGAACAUUGAGCCUUGAUGUGUAGGAUAGGUGGGAGGCUUUGAAGCGUGGACGCCAGUCUGCGUGGAGCCAACCUUGAAAUACCACCCUUUAAUGUUUGAUGUUCUAACGUUGGCCCCUUACCGGGGUUGCGGACAGUGUCUGGUGGGUAGUUUGACUGGGGCGGUCUCCUCCCAAAGCGUAACGGAGGAGCACGAAGGUUAGCUAAUCCUGGUCGGACAUCAGGAGGUUAGUGCAAUGGCAUAAGCUAGCUUGACUGCGAGCGUGACGGCGCGAGCAGGUGCGAAAGCAGGUCAUAGUGAUCCGGUGGUUCUGAAUGGAAGGGCCAUCGCUCAACGGAUAAAAGGUACUCCGGGGAUAACAGGCUGAUACCGCCCAAGAGUUCAUAUCGACGGCGGUGUUUGGCACCUCGAUGUCGGCUCAUCACAUCCUGGGGCUGAAGUAGGUCCCAAGGGUAUGGCUGUUCGCCAUUUAAAGUGGUACGCGAGCUGGGUUUAGAACGUCGUGAGACAGUUCGGUCCCUAUCUGCCGUGGGCGCUGGAGAAUUGAGGGGGGCUGCUCCUAGUACGAGAGGACCGGAGUGGACGCAUCACUGGUGUUCGGGUUGUCAUGCCAAUGGCACUGCCCGGUAGCUAAAUGCGGAAGAGAUAAGUGCUGAAAGCAUCUAAGCACGAAACUUGCCCCGAGAUGAGUUCUCCCUGAGACUUUAAGUCUCCUGAAGGAACGUUGAAGACGACGACGUUGAUAGGCCGGGUGUGUAAGCGCAGCGAUGCGUUGAGCUAACCGGUACUAAUGAACCGUGAGGCUUAACCUU